rnacentral:rRNA from 1 species
GAUGAACGCUAGCGACAGGCUUAACACAUGCAAGUCGAGGGGCAGCAUAAAAGUAGCAAUACUUUGGUGGCGACCGGCGCACGGGUGAGUAACGCGUAUGCAACCUACCUAUCAGAGGGGAAUAACCCGGCGAAAGUCGGACUAAUACCGCAUAAAACAGGGGCACCGCACGGUGAUAUUUGUUAAAGAAAUUCGCUGAUAGAUGGGCAUGCGUUCCAUUAGGUAGUUGGUGAGGUAACGGCUCACCAAGCCGACGAUGGAUAGGGGAACUGAGAGGUUGGUCCCCCACACUGGUACUGAGACACGGACCAGACUCCUACGGGAGGCAGCAGUGAGGAAUAUUGGUCAAUGGGCGGGAGCCUGAACCAGCCAAGUCGCGUGAAGGAAGAAGGAUCUAUGGUUCGUAAACUUCUUUUGCAGGGGAAUAGAGUGCAGGACGUGUCCUGUUUUGUAUGUACCCUGAGAAUAAGGAUCGGCUAACUCCGUGCCAGCCGCCGCCGUAAAAC